ACAAGUCAAAGAUAAUAUAUGGAAUGGAUGGGUGAUUCUUUCGUCGCUGUUCAAGCAACACUGUUUUGGGAGGAUAAUCAGACAUCUACCUGUGUCUUAGUGUCUUUUGGUUCAUCAUGUUUGACUGUGGCAGAUGUUUUGUUGGGAUUUCUGGAAUUUAACACAGUAGACUGAAUGUCUCAUUUCUAACAGAAAUGAAAUGGUAGUCUUAGUAGAUUUUAUAACUUUUCUUGUUUGUUUUCUGAAAACUGAUGGUAUGCUAGGUCAUUUUAUCUCAAGAAUGAAAUAGAAAGAAUUCACGUAAUUUUUGAGCAGGAUUCAAAAGGAGACGGGUUAGGUGUCAUCACAAGCAAAUGCUAAUGAACAAACCAGUGAGAUGAUGAACAAUGGCAAAUAUUUAAUAAUUGAUUUAAUAAUAAUAAUAAGUUAAUACUAAUAUUCAAUAAUUAGAUGAUUCUUUUUGUAGUUGAUAAAUAAUUAAAGUAAAAUAGCUUGGAAGACCAUAAGGAAGAGAUAGGUGUAUUCAACGAGACAUCACAUCUUAAACCACAGGGGUUUCUCCUCAAGAUAUUUAUAAUUUCCACAAUGAAGAGACAAUAAUCAGAAAUUAUCAAUGCUUGAUCCAGUACUUAAUAGGGACUCGCCGCCGGGACGAGAUGGAUGGUGUCAGCUUUAACGGAACUUCAAAGGAAUUUUAUUUCGGUAAAAUAAUGAAAGCUGUGAUUGUGUUGAUCCUCUCUUUGCUUGAUUGGACAUAAUAUUCAACUUGAACAGUGAAAGGCAUAGCUCAACAACAUUGUGCCCACUAUUCGUGUGGAUGAGCAUGCUGUUUGGACUGGGAGGGCCGCCUGUCGCUUAGGACCUAUUUGACCGAAUCGUAAAGUAUCCAUACGUGAUGAACAAUUUCACGAAGUAAAU